UCCCGUUAAGAGAUAUGACAAUUGCCGUACGGCCUACUUUUACGCAAACGAAAAUUUAAUUUAGCUACAAUUGCAAAAAUUUCAUGCUUAAUUUUCUCUGUUAUCUGGGCAUGUAGUAAUCUAAUUUUAUGCAAUGUAAUGUGCUGUUUUUCCAAGGACUUUUCAAUGCAGUUAUCGGUUUAAAUAUAACUCAAAUUCCCGUUGAGAUAUGACAAUUGCCGUACGGACUACUUUUACGCAAACGCAAAUUACAACUGCAAAUUUCAUCAGCACAUCACAUUGGCAUAAAAUUACAUUACUACAUGCCCGGAUAACAGAGAAAAUUAAGCAUGAAAUUUUUGCAAUUGUAGCUAAAUUAAAUUUUCGUUUGCGUAAAAGUAGGCCGUACGGCAAUUGUCAUAUCUCUGAACGGGAAUUUUAGGUAUAUUUAAACCGAUAACUGCAUUGA
rnacentral:lncRNA from 1 species